CCGGUAUAGCGACAGUUCCGUUUGACAUUAGUGAAAAUUAAUACAAAUCACUAUCAUUUUCUGUAAUUGUAUACACAAAGCAAGAGAACUCCAAGCUUCAGUCGAACCAUAUUGGGAUCAAAUUUCGACUCAGCUACUUCAUAGUGCCUCGCUUAACUCUCGAUUUUCAUACCAAUUUAAUGACAACUUGAAAGUUUUUGAAUAAUUUGAAGGUAUUUUUAAAUUUUUUUUAUAUCAGAAU